UGCGUAGGCGGGUUUCUAAGUCAGAGGUGAAAGCCUGGAGCUCAACUCCAGAACUGCCUUUGAUACUGGAAGUCUUGGGUAUGGCAGAGGUGAGUGGAACUGCGAGUGUAGAGGUGAAAUUCGUAGAUAUUCGUAAGAACACCAGUGGCGAAGGCGGCUCACUGGGCCAUUACCGACGCUGAGGCACGAAAGCGUGGGGAGCAAACA
rnacentral:rRNA from 1 species